GGCAUGGGUAUGUCUUGCUUAUGAAGCAUAAAUUUAAAUCGGUUGAAAUAUUCUAAUGAUUCUGUAAUAAAGUAGAAAAAUAAACUGUAAAGAGUAUUAUAACUCAUCAGUUAGACUGAUAAAGUGAAUACCUUUACAGUAAAUUUUUGAUAUGUCUUGAAGAGAAUUAAAUUCUCUCUCAAUGGAUCUCUCUUGGGACACCACUGUUUGAAAGGAGGAAUUGAACUUUGUUAGACAUGAUUCGGUCCACUGUGGGUUUGCUAGUCCACCAAAGAUUAUAUUUUAGAGACUACUUAAUAUGUGCUCGAGAAUAAUCAGACCAAAUCGAUCACCAAAACUUCAUAUUAGAUAUGGACUUGGAUAAUUUGAUACUCACAUAUCUUAAGUUUGGGACGUUGAACUUAAUGUGAAAUAUUCACAAACUGAUUAGCUUGGAUCUUGAUCUGAUAAAUAUUAUUUUAGAAAUAUUUCAUCUAC
rnacentral:lncRNA from 1 species